rnacentral:lncRNA from 1 species
GUUUGAAUGAGUGUUAGUUCUUUUUGUCCUUUUUUUUUGAAAUUUUAAGUCAAGUAUGGUUAAGUUCAUUUACAAGUUUGAUUAAGAAAAUAAGUUUGAAAAUGCAAUGGCAUAAGGCCAAAGUUUCUAAUUUGCAAUAAAGUCUAAGUUUAGAAAAUUCAAGCAAAUAAGAUUUUAAAAGGAGGGAGAUAUUUUGAAAUUAAAGAAAUGGGGAAG